AGUGAACGUUGGCGGCGUGGAUUAGGCAUGCGAGUCGAGCGAGAACCGUAGCAAUACGGGGACAGCGGCGAAAGGGACAGUAAUAUGUAGGUACCUACCCUCGGGUCCGGGAUAGCUGCGGGAAACUGCAGGUAAUACCGGAUGACAUCUCCGGAUCAAAGGUGUGAUUCCGCCCGGGGAGGGGCCUGCAUCCUAUUAGCUUGUUGGUGGGGUAACGGCCUACCAAGGCGACGAUGGGUAGCGGGUGUGAGAGCAUGACCCUCGUCAUUGGGACUGGGACACUGCCCCGACACCUACGGGUGGCUGCGGUCGAGAAUCUUCGGCAAUGGGCGCAAGCCUGACCGAGCGACGCCGCGUGCGGGAUGAAGGCCUUCGGGUUGUAAACCGCUGUCAGUGUGGAGGAAAUUCCUAGGGGUAAUCUCCUAGGAUUGACCUAUACGCAGAGGAAGGAUGGGCUAAGUUCGUGCCAGCCGCCGCAGUAA
rnacentral:rRNA from 1 species